ACUAAUGCAAUAAAAUGGGCAAAGUAGACAAAAUUUUCCAUUAUUAUACAAUUAUGUUUGUCUUAUUUUUCUGAUAUUAAAAUGUCCUUACUUUAUAAAAUUAGUUCUCAGUAGAUGUAGUCAUGUGUUUGUUUGUUUGUUUGUUUUUAAUAAGUCCUUGGUAACAUUUAAAGGUUGGUUGGUCUCUUAAAUUUAGGAAAAACACACAUCCCUGGUAGACAGAUGAAAUUCUCAAAUCUGGUGAAUGCUGAGACUAGAAACCACACUGUAUAGGUCUGUGAAAGACCAACACCCUGGCUUUGACUCUGCUGUUUUGUAAUCUUUCUUUUCUGUCCAAGACAAUGUUUAAAAGUCAAUAUUUUUCCAUUUCCUGUCUCCCCUUUUAAUGAGGAAGGACAAACACUUGAAAAUAAAAAUGUACACAAGGUGCUUGAGACAGAAAUUAUUUCUUCAAAGUGCUUUAAUCAUGCUGUUGAAAACCACUUUCUCCAGUAGCCUAAUCACAUAAAUCAUAGUAAAAGGUUAAAGAUGAAGUUCAAUUGUGCCAAAUUACCUGCAAUGGUUUCUCAGAAAUGGAUUACUUUCUAUUAAAAGGUGAAGUCAUUCUGCUACCCAUUGGUAUGCUCAGGUGGUCUCUGGGUUGCAUCUUCACAUAUAGAUCAUUUGCAUGGGUGUUUGGUUUAAAAGGAUGCUUGUUUAAUUUCUUAUUAACAUUUGGCUCAAAACUAGAUAUUGGGCAGAAAUUCCACGAAGUUCAGGACUUCGCACCAACAGCACCAGGGUCAGUAGCCAGAUUUGAUAAGAAGAUAAUGAUGAUAAUACGAUCUAAUUCCAUUACUUCUGCCUUGAUAAACUCUUAAACACCAUCUAAAGCAGAAUUAUUCCAUUAUUAUUCAGGGUUCCCAGAUACUAAGCAUUGUAAAUAGAAUAAUUCCUCAGAAAUAUAUUUUCCUUAUUGAAUACAUGUAGUAAGUUAGUUAUGGAGUGUCUUUCAAUGAAUCUUAAAUAACUUCAGAAGGAUGGUGAAAUAGAAAGAGACCUGGACUUGGGAAUCAGGUGACCAAGAACCUACUUUUCCUUUAACUCAAGCAUAGAGUUACCUAAUUUCCUUGAGCCUCACUUUUGUCAUCCAUAAAAGUAUGUUUAUUAAGCAUUUUUGUGCAAAGUAUCCUGCACAGUGCAUACAAAUAUUAUCUCAUUUAAUUCCUACAAUAACUCUAUGAGGUGAGUCUGUUAUUAGCUCCACUUUUGUUCAAGACCCUAUACAUCAUAUCACUUCUUUCUUCCCCAGACAAAAUAUUUAUUCUUCCCCAGACAAAAUAUUUUGCCAAAUCUCAUCUACAGCCUCUAUGAGUUAAAACAGUUUUGCUUUUCUGGUUUUACUUCUAUUUUUGUGUUCCUCUUUGGCUCAUUGACUGGUUUUCUUUUCAGUGGAAUUGCAAUUUGAUUCUCAGCUCUUUAAAUCAGAAGAGGAAAACUAGCCAUCACUUAUUAAGCACCAAUCACAUGGUAUAUGCUUUCCAAAUAUUUUCUUUUAUCCUAACAAUAGCCCAUUGUCCCAUUUUACAGGUAAGGAUAUAGUCUCAGAGAUGUUAAAUAAGAUGCCCAAGACCACACAGCUCUCUCUCUUUUUAAAGUAUAGUUGACUUACAAUUAUUCAAGUGUAUAGCAAAGGGAUUCAGAUAUAUUUUCAGAUUCUUUUCCAUGAUAGGUUAUUACAAAAUAUUGAAUAUAGUUCCCUGUGCUGUAAAGUAAGUCCUUAUCUUUUAUCUAUUUUAUAUACAGCAAGUAGUAUGCAUCUGUUAAUCCCAAAUUGCCAAUGUAUCCUACCCCCCUCCUUUGGUAAACACUAUUUUGUUUUCUAUGUCUGGGUAGACUCUCUUGACUGGUCUAGUUUUUGUGCCCACUAAGGCCUACAGUCUAUGACACAGCUCUGUGAGCAAACAUGUUAAUUUCUACACCCUUUCCUUCUGUACAAGGAUCACUCAUUUCAGGGAAAGGAAAUGUAAAUUAGUUUAUACAAAUAUUCAAAUCAAAGCUGUUUGGAUUUGAUAAGAAAGCUCAUGUUUAGAAAAUAAAGAAGGCUAGUCUUUUCUCACUCUGUUCCUUAGAUUGUAUUUGACCAAUAGUCUGCUAUGUAGCAAAAGGAAAACACCAGGGCAGUUGCUAUUCUGUGAACAGCAAAGCUAAGUUAUCAAAAUAUGUUUUUUAAAUCUUCUCAUUUAAUCUGAAUUGAAAAAGAAUUGUGUUUACAAAACCUUCAGUUAAUGACGGUUGCAUCACACUCCUGUGAUUUUAAACAAUGAUUUAUUUUAUUCUUUGCGGCUUUGAGCAAAGAGCUUCUUCAUUUAUGUUACACUCCAAACAGUUCCCAAAAUUCCAGCUAUUUUAUUACAUUUUUAUUACAAAUCAAGGCAUGGAGUGAAAACUAUAUAAAUCAAUCCAUCUAUUUGUCUAAAGAUCAGCUGUAUAACUUCAAAGCUGAAUAUGUUUCAGGUAUUUUAGUUUCACACAUAUACCUUACCCUACUAUCAGAGUUUCUUCAUUUUGCAUCAUUAUUCCUUAUAUAUCCUCCAGUUUCCACUGUGACCAAAUAUUUACCAAUUCUUCAGGCCCUGAAUAUCCUACUCACAUCAGAAUCUUUACUUGUUUUCUUAAGGCAUGUUUUGUUGUCCAUUUUGUUCUUUCCAAAAAGCAUAAAAAGCAGAAUUUCUUUAAUUUCCUCCAAGCUCUCUCAUUCAAUGGGCAAUGAAUAUUCAAACAAUAUGAUCUAGCACUCCUGCUUCUGAGUAUAUAUCCAAACAAAAUGAAAACAGGACCUUGAAGCAAUAUCUGCACUUCCACAUUCUCUGCAGUGUUAUUCACAAUUGCCAAGAUAUGGAAACAACCUAAGUGUCCAUCAAAAGGUGAAUGGAUAAAAAAGAUAUGGUAUAUGUAUGCAAUGGAAUAUUAUUCAGCCAUGAGAAAGAAGGAAAUCCUGCUGUUUUAGACAACAUGGAUGGAACUUGAUGGCAUUAUGCUAAGUGAAAUAAGCCAGACAGAGAAAGACAAAUACUGCAAGGUAUCACAUAUAUGUGGAAUAAAAAUAAAAAGUCAAGCCCAUAGAAACAAAGAAUAGAAAAGUGGUUGUCAGAGGCUGGGAAGUUGGGAAAAAAGGAGAGUUUGGUAAAAGUGUACAAACUUUCAGCUGUAAGAUGAAUAAGAUCCAAGUAGCUAAUGUAUAAUAUGGUGACUAUAGUUCACAACUCUAUAUUGUAUAAUUGAAACUUGCUGAGAGUAGAACUGAAAUGUUCUCAUGCACACACACACAAAAGAUAAAGAUGAUGGAUGUGUUAAUUAGAUGGGGAGAGGAGUUCCCAUCGUGGCUCAGUGGUUAACGAAUCUGACUAGGAACCAUGAGGUUGCGGGUUCAAUCCCUGGGCUUGUUCAGUGGGUUAAGGAUCCGGCAUUGCCGUGAGCUGUGGUGUAGGUUGCAGAUCCGGCUCGGAUUCCGCGUUGCUGUGGCUGUGGUGUAGGCUGGUGACUAUAGCUCCGAUUCGACCCCUGGCCUGGGAACCUCCAUAUGGUGCAGGAGCGGCCCAAGAAAUGG
rnacentral:lncRNA from 1 species